CAAGCUCCGGCUUGAGCCAGCCCGCCUAAAAUCCGUCGCAUGCUUCCGGUGUCCAUGCCUGAACACGAGUAGAACGUUUUUGUUCCAGCUGGACCCGUCGGGCUGCCGCCCAAACCGAGCUUCAUGGCCUGCGCCAGGGCCAAGAAACACCGCUCAGUCAAUGAGGUUUGGACCAAGCCUACCGCGGCGCCCUGAUACUCGAAACGUGUUUUAGACGCACGGUAGACACUCGUGGGUGCGUUGAAAUUGAUGAACGGGAUAAAUUCGAACGGA